UACGUAGGUGGCAAGCGUUAUCCGGAAUUAUUGGGCGUAAAGCGCGCGCAGGUGGUUUCUUAAGUCUGAUGUGAAAGCCCACGGCUCAACCGUGGAGGGUCAUUGGAAACUGGGAGACUUGAGUGCAGAAGAGGAAAGUGGAAUUCCAUGUGUAGCGGUGAAAUGCGUAGAGAUAUGGAGGAACACCAGUGGCGAAAGGCGACUUUCUGGUCUGUAACUGACACUGAGGCGCGAAAAGCGUGGGGGAGCAAACAGG
rnacentral:rRNA from 1 species